AGUUGUUGUAGAAUAUGGUCAACUCGGUGGGUGGAAAGGAAGGAAGGGGGCCUGAUUUUGGAGUUCUAAGUUGGUUGGGCUAGAGCCAACUCCUCCUUCAAUGAUCGCAAACCACUCGCGUUGAAGCAUUCGAAUCUUCAGCUCACAGUCCAUUUUCGAAUCACUCCUCACCUGUGGAACAGUGAAAUUUCACCAAAUUCUCUAGAAAUCCUAAGAGCCACAGCACGUUGGAGAAUGGAGGAUGAUGUUAGGGUUUCAACUGAUGGAAAGGUCUUACAGCUCCAGGAGCUCUGGAUUUUUCACCGGCCGCAGAUAUUCGUUAGAUCGCAUGGUCCUGAUUCCAUUGAAGAUAAUCGACUGGUUUUCUUGAAGCAUUUGCAGAGAACUUCAACCACACCGUCGUAUUCGUUGCUAGACACUGGGAGGUUCUCUGUGCAAGAGACUAGUCCUGCUUCUUCAGGGGCCUCCGUUCAGUUUUGCGGCUGAACAGACAAUAAAAGAUAACACGCCACAUAGCUUAUCCGGGAGCGCACAAGAAUCAGAAGUCAGAGGAUUACUCGAAAGGGUGUGCUAGGCAAGGCGAUUAGAAAUCAUGGAUGCCGUAAUUCGGUCUGCUGUGAAGAGGUGGUUGGAAUGUUGCAGCAAGGUGAAGAGAGCUGGUCAUGGGAAAUCUUCCCAUUAUUAGUUCAAACGCAUUGCAGAAGGGAAAAAGGAAAAAUCAGAACAUACAUAGUUCAAAAGAGAUUCAGUUCUAGCUACCCUAGCUAACUGAUUUGCAAAAAAGACUAUUUUCAUGGGAAAUCUUCCCAUUAUUAGUUCAAACGCAUUGCAGAAGGGAAAAAGGAAAAAUCAGAACAUACAUAGUUCAAAAGAGAUUCAGUUCUAGCUACCCUAGCUAACUGAUUUGCAAAAAAGACUAUUUUCUCAAUGACACAUGAAGAGAACUGUUUCAUCACAUCACUAAUAUCCUGCUAAAAAAGGAAAUUUCCCAUGUCCAAUUAUCUCCACUCAGCUUCUAGAAUUUGAUUAGCUCUUUGCAAUAAGUCCAAAUGACUACGGACGUGAAUCCUAAUCGUUUUGCCUAUUGCACCCUUCGAGCAUACCUUUGGCUUCGGAUUCUUGUGUUCUCCUUGCAUAACCAGAGCUUAGGGAACUGCAAUAACAAAUACAAAGCUGCCCAUCCAGCCUGAAAUGAAGAGAUAUGAAAACUACCAUUGCACUCCACAAUACAAGAGUCAGUAGGUAAGAGCUUUUGGAAUUCCGACUAUAGGAUCAAUGCAUCUUCACCUGGGGCAAUGGAUGGAGUAAUAGGUUGUAAAAGGUUAAGGUCAAUAAUCAGUCUAUUGAUAUUAUUAAGGAUAGAUGUUGGGUUCAGGGAUUUACCAUUGUUGAUGCUACGACUUCUAGCCAUCUAUAUGAAGUAACACGUAAUGGCAAAGACUAAAUGAAAGAAGGAAAUAUCGUUCCUAAUCAAACUGGGGUCAUUUAGGAAGUUUGAGCAUUUUUGUUAUAAAAAUGCAUUGGAAGGAUUCUGUCCUUAAUCCCAAAAGUCUUGCUGCCCAGAUUCUCUUAGAGAAACUAUAUGAAAUAAAGAGAUGCCUGUUAAUUUCAGGUUCCUCAUGGCAAAAGGGACACACUUCCUCAAGAGAGAAAAACCUGCUUAAAUUGGUUCUGGUGCAGUGCCCAUUUUAAGUAGUCUCCACAAGAAAAUUUUGAACUUCGGAUGAGCAUACAUUUCCAGAGGUGGUACCAGAUUUAUUUCAGUUGAAUGAGAGUUGGAAACUCUGUAAAAAAAAUAAAAAAAUAAAAAAAAUCAGCCACAAUUUUGGUAGAGAGAACAACCAUUUUGGAAUAUUGACUAAAUAAAAAAUCUUCAUGGGUAGAGGUGGACAGAAGGAUGGAUAGGAUUUUUGGGACUACAAAAGAGGGAAAUAACACUUGAAUUAGGGGGAUACUCCAUCUCCUCUAUCUAUGAUUAAUUCCGAGACAUUUUUAAAAAGAUUGAGACAGGAAGCUCCCCCAGGGUCAAUGUAGACAUUUGGCCAUUUGGGGAGCCAAGGACUGUUUGACAUGUACACCUUUGCACCUGUACCCAUUUUCCAACAAACUAAGGGUCUGAGGAGAGGAAUAACGUGAGAAAUACCAUUCCAAGUCCAGGUUCCUUUUUUGGGUUUGAAAUUGGCAUCUAAAAUGCAAUUAUUAGGAAAAUAUUUUGUUUUUUUUGGGUUUGAAAUUGGCAUCUAAAAUGCAAUUAUUAGGAAAAUAUUUUGCUUUUAGGAUUCUACCCCACUAAGAAGAUGGGUUGGAGAUCAUUCUCCAUCCUAAUUUGGUUAGGAGGGCUGUAUUGUGGCUGCACGCAACCGGGUGGCAAUCUGUUUCCCAAUUAUUUAUUACAAAGGUUCCUACUGGUUAUAUUUACAGACUUCCAAAGAUUCCUAAUUAAACUGAAUCUUAGGUAUCUCCACUCAGCUCCCAAGGCUCCUAAUAUGAGUCUUCUGCUCAUGUUAUGUACAUAUUAACUUUUUUUAUUAUUUAUUUCUAUGUUUUAAGUUUUCCUGAUUAUUUAACAUGCUUUUCUAAAUAGCUUUCUUGGAGAAGAUCUUUUGUUUUUGUUUACCAUGAGCAGGGCAUAGGCGGAUUUGUGCAACCCUUCAUUUAUAUAAAUUUUAUUGGUGUUCUUUUAUUUUUUGCUGUCCAGUUGUAUGUGCAGAGUAUCAUGGAGGAUCUUGAUGAGUUAGAAGAUGCUUCUCCUGUUGAUAGUUGGGAUAAAAUUUCAUAAAUAAAUUGACCUCUGGUGAUUCAUGAGGAAGAAGGUAAGGUCUUUACUUUACAUGAUGCACUCGAAACUCAACUACCUGAGUUCUUCACCGAUGAAUUGACUGAUGAGCUAAGGACUACUAGAUCCCGAGGAUGAGCAAAGAGCCAGUGAGACAAACUUGUCUCAUUGCAAUGAAGAAAAUGCAUGGAACAGAAAGAAUGGAGAGGUGGGAGAAACAUUAGGUAAAUGGAACCAGGAGUCUUUUUCACCCAAAAAGGCUGAAAUCAAUGGAUUGAACCCAAGUUGGAGUAUACCCUUCUCUUGGGUUGUUAACAACUUGAUGAACCCUGAGCACUUUCUUCAUAUUUGUGUUGUUAAAACUUGCGCCAGACCAUGUCCAUACAAUGAUGAUGUGAUGGGGUUAUGUUUGGAUCAUUGUGUCUCACCCUUUGUUAAGGAAUCUUGAGCUCCAUUCUUUUGUAAUCUCCAAUCAUAUCCCAUUCAUUGUAUAGAAAUGUACAGAAACACUUGUAUUAGGAUCAGUGUGUGCUGCUAACAGCCCCUUGCGUGGGUGGUUCGCGGCAUCACCUCACAAGAGGUUGGUCUCGGGCUCGAAUUCUGUGGCAGGAACCAACAAGGAGUUGGCUUAGUUCAAGCUUUCAUGAAGCUGUGCAGGUUACGUCACUGAAACAGUGGGGGCUGCUUGAACCAUGUUUCCUUUUUUGGACUUAUUUUUUCAAAAAUUCAGGCAUUGAUUUCUUCUA